GGCAGUCUCAGAAGGAGGGGGCUAAGCUCAAGGGGUCCCAGCACUGAGAUCAGUUAUAGAAACAGUAUAGAGCUUCUUCAGAAAAUUUAAACUAGAGCUACUACACAAUCCAGCAAUCCCACUGCUGUGUAUAGACCCAGAGGAAAUGAAAUCAGCCCAGCAGAAACAUCUGCACGCCCAGGUUCACUGCACGCCCAGGUUCACUGCAGCACCCAGGUUCACUGCACGCCCAGGUUCACCGCAGCACUAUUGACAAUAGCCAAGAUGUGGAAUGAGUGUAAUGUCCAACAACAGAUACAUGGAUAGAGAAAAUACAGCAUAUACACAAUGGAGUUACUCAGCCAUUAAAAAAACAAUAAAAUCCCAUCAUUUGCAGCAAUACGGAUGGAACUGGAGGACACUGUGUUAAGUGAAACAAGCUAGAAAGCUAAAUAGCACAUGUUCUCACUCAUAAAUGGAAGCUUAAAAAUGUUGAUCUCCUAGAAGUGAAAAGCAGAACAGAGGAUACUAGAGGUUGGGAAGGGUUGGGGGAGGGAGGGAUAAGAGGAGAUCUGUAAAGAUACAAAAUUACAGCUGGAUAAGAGGAAUAAAUUCUAGCAUUCUAUAGCACUGUAGGAUGACUGUAAUUAACAGUAUAUUAUAUGGUUUCAAAUCGCUGGAAGGAGGAUAUUGAAUGUUCCCAACACGAAGAAAUGAUACAUGUCUGAGAUGAUGGCUUUGCCAAUUACCCUGAUCUUAUCACUACACAUUAUAUGGAUUGAAACACCACUAUGAACCCCAUAGAGAUGUACAAAGAUUGUCAAUUUAAAAAAAGAAAACAGAAAUGUGGUACAUAGAUGCUAUGGAAUACUGUUCAGCCUCAAAUAAGAAGGAAAUUAUGUGAUCCGUGACAACAUGGAUGAACCUGGAGGACAUUAUGUUAAAUGAAAUAAACCAGGAAUGGAAAGACAAAUUCUGCAUGAUCCCACUUACAUAUGGGAGCAAAAAAAAAAAAAAAAAGUCAAAUACGUAAAAACAAUAGAAUGUGGUUACCAGGGGCAGGUGGUGGGGGAAUGGGGAGAUGUAGGUCAAAGGGUACACAACUGUGCAGGAUGAAUAAAUCUAGAAACCCAACAUACAGCAGGAGGAAUGUAGUUAAUAAUAUUGCAUUGUACACUGGAAGUUUGCUAGGAAAGUAGAUUUUAGGUGCUCUUACCACAAAACCAAACGUAACUUUGUGAGAUGGUGGAAUGUUCAUUAGCUUGACUGCAGUAAUUAUUUAAGUGUGUGUGUGUGUCUGUGUGUGUGUGUGUACCUCAGCCCCAUGUUCAGAGAUAGCUUUGGUCCUGAGGGAUCAGUGCCCAAAUAUGUUCAAUGUUACCCUUGGAGCAGUGUAAAGUCCAAAAGACUAAUAUGGUCACCUAAUGGCAUGUUAGACAAUCCUUUAAAGCUGUGCCAUGGAGCACUGUAAUAACGCUUUUAAAAUACCUAUACCAGGAUACUUGGAGAACAUUGGGUAUGAAUUGCAUCUGAUAGGAUCAUAUCUAAUUAAAAUAAGCUUAGAAAGAAUACUGGAAAGAAAUACACUGUAAUAGAAUACAAAAGUGUCCAUAAGUAUCCCCUGCCUGUUUCCACACCCUCUCACUGAGUCUGGGCCCCAGUCCUUGAAUCGCGGCUGGCUUGGGACUUGGGUCAAGGAAUAGGGUCUGAGACUCUGUGCCUGUUCCUAGGCUGACACUGCUAUCAUUUUUGGAACCAAGGCUGGAUCAUGACAGAACAGAGCCUCCACUACUCCUGCCUUCAGCCAGGGCCCCGAAGCAAGGCUCCACCUAACCAUCAAGUGACUGAAGGCACUAAGGGAGCCCGGCUGGGACGGAGAACCAGCAGCUGAGCACAGCCAAAGGCAAUGACCACAGAGGUCGGAGCCACACACCUUGCUGCUGCUGCCUGUGGCAGGGCUGGUUACUCAGCAUUAAUUUCACAUAUGUUACGCAUUCACGAUGGCUUUAUCUCUGGGUGUUGGGAUUACAGAUGGUUUUUUCUUUCUAAUUUUUUGGACUCAAAUUUUAAUAACAUGUAACAUACUUUAUAUCUCAUUCUCUCAAAGAUAUUAGCAAUAUAGUAUUUUUGUAAGUCUAUCAAAAGAAAUCUUCUACCUAUGUCUAGAAA
rnacentral:lncRNA from 1 species